rnacentral:rRNA from 1 species
UACGUAGGGUGCAAGCGUUGUCCGGAAUUAUUGGGCGUAAAGGGUGCGUAGGCGGCCUGACAAGUCUGAUGUGAAAUCCCUGGGCUCAACCCAGGGCCUGCAUUUGAUACUGCUUUGCUUGAGGACUGGAGAGGAGAUCGGAAUUCACGGUGUAGCAGUGAAAUGCGUAGAUAUCGUGAGGAAGGCCAGUGGCGAAGGCGGAUCUCUGGACAGUUCCUGACGCUGAGGCACGAAGGUCAGGGGAGCAAACGGG